rnacentral:lncRNA from 1 species
AUAUGUAUUCAAUUCCUACCACCGUAGUGGAAGAGAGGCUAUCCCUAUCUUUACAACUGAUAGCAUUUCCAACAGUAAGCUGUGAGAUUCUGCUUGAAAUCACCUCUCAAACAAAUAAAAAACAGACCUGGGAGACACGCUACACUCAUUCUGCUGAAGAAAUAGCAUCCAGUUGCCUGGCCUGCAGUGUGUCUCUAAGGAAUGGAAACUAAGCAUUGGGGCAUUCAUACUUGGGGAAACAGGGAUUUCACAGACCCAGGCUUGUUCCCUACAUAAUGUUUCCUCCUCCGACAUCAGUUCAUCAGUCAAUCAAGUCAUGUGAGAGUGGAGGCCUUGUAUUCCCUAUUAUUCUUGGGCACUCUCCUCCAAGGAGGGAAAGGCCAGGA